AUACGUAGGUGGCAAGCGUUGUCCGGAUUUACUGGGUGUAAAGGGCGAGUAGGCGGACUGACAAGUCAGGUGUGAAAGCCCGGGGCUUAACCCCGGGUCUGCAUUUGAGACUGUUGGUCUUGAGUAUCGGAGAGGCAGGCGGAAUUCCCGGUGUAGCGGUGGAAUGCGUAGAUAUCGGGAGGAACACCAGUGGCGAAGGCGGCCUGCUGGACGACAACUGACGCUGAGGAGCGAAAGCGU
rnacentral:rRNA from 1 species